UACGUAGGGGGCAAGCGUUGUCCGGAUUUACUGGGCGUAAAGCGUGCGCAGGCGGUUUUGUAAGCCAGGGGUGAAAUCCCCGGGCUCAACCUGGGAAUGGCAUUUGGGACUGCAAGGCUGGAGUGUGGCAGAGGAGACUGGAAUUCCUGGUGUAGCAGUGAAAUGCGUAGAUAUCAGGAGGAAUACCGAUGGCGAAGGCAGGUCUCUGGGCUGACACUGACGCUCAUGCACGAAAGCGUGGGGAGCAAACAGG
rnacentral:rRNA from 1 species